rnacentral:ncRNA from 1 species
UUCUUAUCAAGAUAGGUGGAGGGACUGGCCCAUUGAAACCUGGCAACAGACCUUUAGGUACUGUGCUAAUUCCUGUGGGUGUAUUUUAUCUCAAAAGAUAAGAA